rnacentral:rRNA from 1 species
CUUGUUCUUUAAAUAGGGACUCGUAUCAACGGCAUCACGAGGGUUACACUGUCUCCUUCCUCCAAUCAGUGAAACUGAUCUCCCCGUGAAGAAGCGGGGAUGAACUAAUAAGACGAGAAGACCCCAUGGAGCUUUAAACCUCACAGCAACCCUAAUACUUAAUUCCUCAUAAUUUACAGGGCAGUGCACGUCGGUUUUAGGUUGGGGCGACCGCGGAGUAAAAAUUACCCUCCACAACGAAAAGAACUAAAUCUUUAUUUAAGAGCAACCACUCUAAAAAUUAGUAUACUAAUGAACAAUGAUCCGAUCAUCGAUCAACGGACCAAGUUACCCUGGGGAUAACAGCGCAAUCUACUUCAAGAGCCCAUAUCAACAAGUAGGCUUACGACCUCGAUGUUGGAUCAGGGUAUCCCGGUGGUGCAGCCGCUACUAAUGGUUCGUUUGUUCAACGAUUAAAACCCU